rnacentral:rRNA from 1 species
GGAUUGACACAUCGGUCGUGCCCUAAGGGGUAUGAACUGGUGUAGUCAAUUUCUCACCUUCUGGAGAACCGCGAUGCCCUUAAUUGGGUGUCACGGGGAACCAGGACCUUUACUUUGAAAAAAUUAGAGUGUUCAAAGCAGGCAUGUGCCGGAAUAAUUGCGCUGGGAAUAAUGGAAUAG